GCAGCUUCCUCUGAGUGAGUCCAGCUACAGGAGAGAAAAGUGGAAAACUCCAACACUGCUGCUUCAAGCUGCUGACGCUCCACACACUGAAUGUGAGUUUGAGCAAAAACACGACUCAAAGGAAGUUUCAGUGAAGGUCGUAGAGGAGGGAGGGGAGCCAGGACUGACUGUACUUCCUGUCUGCUGUUUUCAGCUUCACUCACAGACUCAAUGGCUUCCAGAUCAGAGAAGGACCUGUUUAUCAUUAACUUUUACAGCUUCUGGCAGGCUUCCUCUGAGUGAGUCCAACUACAGGAGAGAAAAGUGGAAACUCCAACACUGCUGCUUCAAGCUGCUGACGCUCCACACACUGAAUCUUCACUCAGACUCAAUGGCUUCCAGAUCAGAGGAGGAUCUCUGCUGUCCGGUCUGUCAGCAGGUCUUCAGAGAUCCUGUUCUUCUGUCAUGUAGCCACAGCUUCUGUAAAGACUGUCUGAAGAGAUGGUGGAGAAAAAAACGGACACACGAGUGUCCAGUUUGUAAGAGAAGAUCUUCAAAGGAAGAACCACCUUCAAAUCUGGCUUUAAAGAACCUGUGUGAGUCGUUCUUACAGGAGAGUGGUCAAAAAGCUUCAGAGGCUCUCUGCAGUCUGCACUCUGAGGAACUCAAACUCUUCUGUCUGGACCAUCAGCAGCCAGUGUGUCAAAUCUGCUGCGCCUCAGACAAACACACCAAUCACAGAUUCAGACCCAUCGAUGAAGCUGCACAACAACACAAGAAGGAACUUCAGGAAACUCUGGAGCCCUUAAAGAAGAAGUUAAAGGUUUGUGAAGAAGUUCAAGUGAAGUUUGAUCAAACAGCAGAACAGUUUAAGGUCCAGG